rnacentral:tRNA from 1 species
GUAUUGGUGGUUGAGUGGCAGAAUUCUCGCCUUCCAUGAGGGAGACCUGGGUUCGAUGUCCAGCCAGUGCA